GCUCUCACCCCCACCUUUGUGUGUGUGUGUGUAUAUACAUGUUUGCAUAAUAAAUACCAUACAAGGGCAAACGAAUGCUCUCUGGAUCACUGGGAACAUUUGUGCUGCAGCAGUUUAUCCUCACCUCCUAAUUCUAUUUAAGUAAGACGGAAAGUGCUUACUUGGGUCACUUGCCAAGCUUGAUCCUUUCCUCAUUUUCAAGUACUCUGAGUAAUAAAGGCUUGCCUUACCUCCUCACUGCCAUUAUCACAUGGGAACCAGGGAAGAAAAAUGCUCUUUUUUUUAUAUUAUUAAUUUUAAAUUAAUAGAACAGGCUGGGUUUCAGAAAUACGAACUCGAAGUGAUGUGUUCCACCCCCACCUUUACCUUGUCAAAUUAACAUGAUGGCAUGUUUCACUUCUUAUGCUAAAGAGAUUCUGAUCUUCAAAGACAACUUUCAAAAAGACACGCUGGUUCAGCCAAGCAGACUAAUAUUUUAGAAGGAAUAUUACCGGUAAUAAAAGAGACAGAGUUAUGAUAGUUUGAUGCAUUAAUUUUAAUAACUUUUUGUACAGCUCUUGAGUUGAAAUGUGUGAAACUGAAGGCAGACGUGGCUCUCAGUUGGAGUGCAGUGUAUUUGUACCCGGCGUGCAUUUGCCUUGCAGCAGCACAUAACCAGGCAGCAUGAAGCCCUGUGCACAGUGCUGUAGCAGAGGUGGGAGCCCCACUCCUUAGCUUUGUUUAGGGCUUGCAUGGCCUUAAAUGGGGAUUUUUGUGUCCCGUGGCCUUGACUUGUUGGCCUUGAGUUGAUUUCUCACUGUGUAUGGCUUAUGUGGCAGUGCCUGUGCUUAGGCAGAAGGUGUCUUGUGAUAGAGAAUUGUUCUAAAUGUAGUUGACUGCCUUCAGAUAAGCCAAUAUUUGUAAGUUAAUUAUGCUUUGAACAAACAAUUUUUGGUUCCUUUGUGUCAGUCAGUCCUUGCAUUAUUAGUUUAAUGAGUAAUUGCUUUCCCUGUCUGCAGUUUAUUUGGUGUGGAAUGCAGCAAGUUUGCAAAUCGUAAGAAUGAUAUAUAAUAAUUCUGUUGUAAGAAAGCCACAAAUAGGGCAUGUUUUGUGGUCAGUAACACGUUGGCCUGGAGUGCAGUCCCUGCGGUGUGUUGGUGUGCAGUGCACAGCACGGCAGGUGCAGAGCUGGAGCUGCUAGCUGUGUGCUGGCUGCUGAGUGGAGAAGGGCAUCUGCAGUGUGAUUCCCCCUGAUGUGCGGAAGCAGGCGGAUAAUUAAGAUGGCAAACCUUGGAGAUGGAUCAUCCCCUCCCUCAUUCCUUCGGAAAUCAACGACAUCACUGAAUCAAGGCUUGAAAAGCACGCUCUAAAGCCAGAACAAACACCCUGAAAUUUCUAUCAUAAUGGUGCUUUUAAAAGUCCUAAAUGUCCUCUAUUUAAAAUGAAAUUCUUUUGUAUUAACCUGCUUUCAUAUGCUAGCUUUCACCAGACUGCAGAAUUGCCUGAUUUGACUUUCUAAUGUAACUGUAAUGAAUCUUCUGGGAAAUGGAGCGAUUGAAUGCAUAUCCUCUGCAACUCCAUUGUAAAACAUUCUGUCAGAACGGGCUGUAUUUAUAUAUUUAUAUUUAUUUUAAUAUGUUUUUGGAGGGGAGAGGUGUCCCAGUCAGGUACGAAAGGCUAAAGCUGAUGUCUUCUCUAGGGAGCAGCCGGAGCUCGGACACCACGGUGUGUGAUAUUGCCUUAAUUAAAUGUAUUUCCAGCAGCACAUACAUAAAUAUGCUGGGUGAGGGUAGCACAGUUAUAUUAAACUCAGAUGUGCUUUUGGAGAGAAAAGAAUAAAGAUGAAAAUUAUUGGCCUAUAGUCUUGUAAUGGGCACAAACAGAGCUGCUGUGUGUUAUGCAUGAGGAGAUAGCAAGGUGAAAUAUCUGUGAGCCAGAUAAAGGCUGCAUGCAUCUGUGUAUAAUGGACCAUAAGGACACUUCUUCUACAGACGUUAUUGUAAUAUAAGCAUUAUAUUUCGUGCUUUAAUGUAGCAGCUGGUGAGCUUUUUCAAGGGGAUUUCUGUGAUACCAGGCUUUGUGUGUGUGACUGCUAUAUCCAUGGUGUUUGUAAUUGCUGUAACGCGGCAGUGUUUUAUCCGUGCGAAGGAAAUUGAACACUGGAGUUUAAUAAUGAAGAAUUUAUUCGUUCAAACCUCCCGUUCUAAUUAGCCAGUGCUGCUAUUUUGAAAUGGUGAGCUGCCAUUGGAGCUUCUAAAUGGAAGGGUCUUUCAUUUAGUGCUGUAUAGCUUUGACUUUGAAGAUUUCAUUCUUUGGGACCCAUUGAAGUCCAGUGUGGAAGGUGUAGAUUUCCUUUUCAUUCUAAGGCAGGGCAGAACUCCACUGCAAUGUCGGGCUCAGUGAGUUUGAACUAUUUGAUUUAUUCCUGUGAUGUGACGGAGGGCGGAGUGUGUGGUGGGGAGGGUUUUGGUUAUGUGGUUUCUUUCCUUCAAGCAAAAGCCGUUUCCUGGAUGCAGUGUGUGUGUAUGGGCUUUCCUUUAUUGUGGUCGGCGCUCGUUUGGGUUUUGUCAGAGGUGUCCAAGGAUGAGCUGUGGCUGCACCAAUGGCUCCGUUCUGAGCACGGGGCUGGGGCAGGUAGCAGCCUGGGGGCUGCGUGUGGGUCCCAGGUAGGAAGGAGGCAUGGGAUGAGGUUUGAAACAUCGUUAGCUUCUUCGUCAUGGGCGACUGUUUUCUUAAUAAUAGCAGCUUGUGAUGUGUUGGAGCAUCUGAUGGGCCCUCCUGUGAGAGGAUGAUCGUACUGGAAGGAUAUCAAACUAUGAAUCAUUUACACUAACCUCUUGUGAAGCACAGCUUGCAUUUUUAAUGAAGGAUGAUUGCAUUUCAUAAACAGACCUUUAAAAAUUAAAAUAAUAUUGAUCUCCUUUCAUUUAGCUCUGUAACAAUAAGCUACAUGUUUCCUUCUGAUAGCUGCGGGAUAGAUUAUUUUUAAAAAUGAAAUGCAUUACACCAAAAUACACCCAAUUCUCUGAACAGAGGGUAUAUUUCUGAGAUAAAUAUCUUACCGUGUAGCUCUGCUUGUGCAGAACGUAACCUGUGAACAAAGGACCAUGUGGAAAUUGUUGCAUGCAGCGUAUGCAGACAGAAGGGGAAUCCCACUCCAAUACCCCGCUGGGCACCCAGCAGCCAUUCCUCUCUACUUUCAUUCCAGGUCAGCAAUGCCGAUUACGUGCACCCUUUCCAACCCACCCCCGUGAGUAACCAUACUCAAAUGCUGUUGCAUGCUGUCUGUGGUGGUAACAGUUGAGGUAAUUGGCCUUACAUCAUCUUGAUGAUUGUAUUAUUUAUUUUGGUUCGUGGCUGUAAAAUAUGCAUUUUUAGGCUUCUUAUGCCCUCCAGGUGGCUGUCACAGUGGGGGAUGUGCCAUGGCCAACAGGACUGCUGGGCUGUUGGUGUGCAGCUCUUCCUUCAGGCUCUUGCAGAGUGCUAUUUAAUUAUGUGCACGUCUGGGCUGAAGGUACUUGAAGGCUUUAGGCUGAUCUGCUCCUGCCUGUGAAAUCCAAGAGCAAGUAAAAGCAGAAGCCAACGUUGUGAUAGCUCUUUGCAGUAAGUGCCAUCAAUUUUUAGCUGUCCGUGAGCUUAGGAAAUGGUUUGAAUCUAAUAAAUCUGCUUUUGAUUUGUAAUUGUUUAGGAAGAUCCCUUUCUAAACAAAAACUUUGGCUUCCAGAUGGUGCAUGAAGGGAACUUGGCUUAAUUGGAUGGCUCUGUUCUGGGCGUUUCAGAACACCUGAUCAGCUUGGACGUUUCCCUCAGAGUUCUUCUAGGAACUGAGGCAGUCUGAGGUCAUAGAAAUCAUGCCAGAAAUGUUGACCGUCCCCAGCUGGUAAAUAGCAGAGGUUCCUUCCAGGCUGAACUGGAAACACAGAUCUCUUGCUCUCAUCUUCUUCUGCCUCUUGAGUUGGGCAGGUGAAAUAAAAGCUGAUAUGGCACAGAGAACAUCAUCCGUGGACUCAUCCCCAUCUUGUGUCUGCGUGUUUCUCCCUUUCUGCUUUCCUGCCGUUCCUCACAUCCAUUUCCAUGGAUGGACUCGCAUCUUCUUGCCCACAAAACCUCUAAAGCAGGGCAGCGGGCAAAAACAGUCCAUGUUUUGAGUCACAGGCUUUAAAAUCUGCCUGUUACUGCUUCAGCAUCCACAAUUUAUUGCACGUGUUGCUGGGUGGCUAGCGGACGUGCCGCGUUUACGUGCAGUUUCGCUACCAGUUGUUGCCAUUUUGCAUUCUGCUUUUGUAAUCGCUUUGUAUAAAAUGGCUUUAUUGUUCGCUGAUCAGGUGCAUCCUGACAUAAAUAAAACAUUGGCAGUAAUUGGUUGUGACAGAUCUUCAGCGCUCCCUCCUCGGCGGUGUGUGCAGCCCUGACAGCUCCGCAGCAGCAGCAGAGCCCGCUCCUCACGCAGGGACGUCCCCGGGGUAAUUGGCUCUGACGGGCACUGGUUGCUGCAAUAAUACUGAUCCAUGAGCCUGCGCGAGCUGCAUAAUGCCUGGAGGAUUCUGUACCCAUCAAUAUGUCCUCAGCUUGAAUCAUUUUUUUUCAUAGUCUUUCCGUGGCAGUUUAUUAAAAGAAAUACUUGCUCCAUUUGCGGUGUAUUUGGUAUCUACACAGCCUUGGCUAGCGUGGCACAUGGGAGCGCCGUCCCGCGGUGCUGUGCCUAAUGCUGCUGUCUGAAUUCCACCUGCCGUGGGUGGGAGAUGCUUGCAGUGCAAGGCUCUUGUUUACUCAAGUUUCUUGGUAUCAAAAUAAAGUGGUAAUGAAUUGUGAUAGUGACCGUGCUCUUGCCACCGCUUUGCUAACCAUGAUGCAGCCAAUGGCCAAGCUAGGGAAAGGCAGAGAUGGCUGUGUUCAGUGAGCACCUACAGCUGGCCAGUUAAGCCACCAGGAAAGGCAUGGUAACCUGUGUUUGUAGGGAACCUGUUUUCCAGGUUUCCAGUAGUAAUAGCUUAGGAAACACUAUGCAACAGACCUGGGCUACAAUGGCUGGGAAGUACCUAUUCCUGAAAGGGAUCUCUUGAAGUUGUCUAAUCACAUGGUAGAGAAGGAGUUUAUAGUCAGUGCUGGGCUAAGUGUUUGCUUUUGGUUCCCGUUUUCCCAAACAACAGCAAACUAAUCACAUGUUGAGGCGUGAGUGUGUUUUUCAAUAGGCAGAGCGCUGAGGCACAGCAUUCCCUGUAGCCCUCCUUGGUGUUCUGAAGGAGCAGGCAUUGAGGUGUUCCUGUGCCCACUGGAUGAGCACGAGGUGCAAACAAUUUUCUGAAGUAGCAUUUCCUUGGGCUUCAGUAGUUGACCUCCCCUGGAAAUGACUGUAAUCAUUAGAGAAGAAACCGUUCAGGGGCAGAAGGAGCUGCUGGGAAGCUCUGUUUGCUUCAGAAGCUCUCUGUCCUUUUCCCCUUUCAAGCUGUUUGUGCCACGAGCGGCCGUGCGGGUUCUGUCCUGCUCUGACAAGCAGAACGUCCCUCCCUGAAGGUCUGGGUCUGUGCUCAGCCCUCCUCAUGGCCCGGUGUAUUCAGAGGUGAACCUACUGCCUCACUGACGCAGCAGAAGCACUUUCUGUCGAGCGGUUGUGUCUUCCAGGUGAGCCUUAAUCGGAAAACAUAUUGAAAUUUAAAGUAAUUCAGGCUUUUUUUUUUGUAAUGGUAUUGAUUUUCAGUUUUAUUCUCCUUCCAAGAACCCAAAACAGGGAGUAUCUGUUUAUCAAAUUCACCCAUUAAACCUUUACGAGUCAAAAAUCAAAUUGCAAAAUGCAAUUACAGGGCAAUCGAUUAACGUAAUUAUGUGUAUAUUUGACUAAAACUGGGUUCUGAAACAUUACCCUUGGAAUUACAAAACACAUUAUGACAGUAAACCUAGCAAGAAGUAUGCUGCUGCUGGGUUGCAUCCUGUUGGUUAGGUCUGCUUUCAUUGCAAGCUAGCUGUAGCAGUCUGUGCAUGGGUUGUAUGUCAGGUUUUACUAUAUGUAAGUGCAGCUUUUAUUACUGUGUGUCUCUAUUUAGCUUGGCAUUGAAGAAGGCAAUGUGCUUCUGCUAAUGCUGUUAGCAACCGCUCACUGUUGGAUUGUUUUAGCUAGAGGGAGUUGCUUCUGCUGUUGGUGUGUAUUUGAGGAGGAAUGAUUUAAUUAGAAAUGGUCAUCUUGCAGUCAGAAUGGCAGAAGGCUCCAUCAGAGCCCUGAGGGGCCCCGCGGUGACUGCAAGGCCUGCUUUGCUCUGACCUCCAGCUGAGGUGCGACACGAUAAAGGCUGCUGAAGUGAAGGGUGGUUGGGUGAAGCCUGCUCCUUGCGUUGUGUGCUGCUGUGCAGGCAAUGUUAAAACCGCUGGAUCUGAUCCAGAUGCUUUUUGAUGCAAGCAAGAAGCCAGCAGUGAUGGGCGAGGGAAGCUGAUCUGCGUGGGAUCUGCACCGCAGAGCGGCAAUGUGUGGAUUGCUGCACUGCCCAUCGCCGGAGCAUUAACAUUGGUUAUAAUAACUGUCAGUAGAGGUCACAGUCUUGCUGAUCCAAUGUGAAAGCUACACAAUCUUGUUACCAGAUACUACAGUGCAGGAAAGAGGAUUACAUAGCAGCAAUGGCUCUUAGCGUAUCUUUUAUUGCUCUCUGAAGAUGGUUGAUUUAUUUUUCAGGUGUAUGAAUGACAAAAACCAGACCUUGAGUUAACUGAUUAUCUUAAUAAAAUGUAUCGUGUAAUACUUGAAAUGUGCUCUUCUAAAUAACCUCAUAAUGAUCCACAAGCUUGUCUUUGCUUAAGAAGAUUAAGGAAUUAAUGUCAAAUUACAGCCAUAACUGCAAAUAGUAUGUGCUGUGUGAGAGCCGGUGGACAAUUGACAAACAUGGAGUAUUUUUUGGAUGCUUUUCUCCUUAGGGGAAGAAGCAGAGCUGUCACAGAUCACGCUGGCAUGCAGUGAGCGUGGCCGAGCAAGGAGGGAGCGCUGGGCAGCGAGCCCCAAUCCUGCACCGAGCAGGGCUGGCUGUGGGUACAGGCAGUUCUGCACUGCAAUGGAAGGUGUCACUUCAGUUCUACAUCAGACAGAUUUUUGUAGGUCAGCGAAGCCCAGGAAGGCAGCAGUCUUUGGGGCCAGGCUACGUGUGCGGCGGGCUGGCUUUGGUGCGAGGUGGUGAUGAAACGCCUAAGAAGCUUGUCUGUUACAUAAUGCUAAUGGAAUUAUGGUUGGGUAAACACAUUAAUGGGAAGGAGGGGAAGAUGCGCAGACUUGGCGGUGGGAGGCAUAAAUGUUGCUGCUGAAAGCCGUGGUGUAAUUCUUGAAUACGUUUUUAAUUUCAGCGUAGCUAGUUUAAAAAUAGCAUCUAAUAAGUGGUAGUUCUCCUAGCUGUAAAUGGCCUGCCUUCAUCGUGCUAUUUUGGUCAGGUGAAAGGGAAAGAGAAGUGUGAGGAAAUGCCCUCUAGCAAAGGAGGAGAGCCACCGAGAGCACGGAUCUGUUGGUUGAAUCUCAGGUACUGUUUUGUAUGUACGGCGCUUUGCUUCUUUCUGAGCUGUAGUGGCUUCACAGGAAGAAAAUGCUUUAUGCUAAGAGCUGUGGCAAUGCUAUCGAUCCUUUUGGGAGGAGAAAUUGGUGGUAUUGAGAGAUGUGGUUGAGAUUUGUAGCUAUCAAAUGCUCUGGCUGCGUGUGCCCUCUGAUAGAUGCUGUUGUUGGCCACUGGUUUCAAACCCUGCAUUGCUUCUUGUGUUAACAGCUGCUAUAAAGCUGCGAGCCUCGUGUGUGCAGAACUUGGGAGCAGUGAACAGGAAAUGCAGCAGGCAUGUGAGCUGUGUGUGACAUUGAAUUCAGAUCUCAGAGCUGUGUGGUUUUAUAGCUGUCUGUGGGAAUUAAAUGAUGAACCCAGCAGUGUUUUGGGUUGUUUGUCACUUGCUUCAGUCAGAAUAUUGCCACAGAUGAACGACCUGCAGGAUGAUGGCAGCGAAAGUGUGGGAACUUCAUUUGAACCAGUAUAAAGAAUCUGCUUUUCUUGUGUAUGGGUUACCCACGCAGAUGUAUCUUCCUGUUUCUUAAGGGCAUAUGGGGUAGUUGGUACUUGGGUUAUGUUGAUGAAGGCUAAGAAGCAGCACACAGAGUUCUAAAUGCAGACACAGCCUCAUCUGUUGGUUGCACAGAUGAGGCUCUCUUGGCUGUGAUGGCUGCAAGCUGAGGUUUGGCCUUAUUGCUUGGGCAGUGAACACUUCCCUCUCACUAAGCAUCCCUAUGGAAGAUGGGUUGUGCUGAAGGCUUCCCUUUAUUUUCCUAGCGGCGCUGGAGUGCAUAGGAGAGACAAACCGUCUUCUGCCUUGUUGAGCCUCCUGGCUUUGUUGAGCUCGUUCAAAAAAACUCACCUUGCUUUAACUCCUCAUUUCUCCUGUGAUUUAUUUUCAAGGAAAUGGCUGUUUGAAGAUAGCCCGGAAUUCUUACAGCCCUCACAGUUCUUAGAGUUGCUGCCUGUGCCUAAAAGCAGGGUUUUCAGGAGAUCUUUCUGAAUCCCUUUAGAUGAAGGAUGAAUAUCCUCUUCAAAGAAAGAUUAGAAGGAUAAUCAUAGAUUUUUCUGAAACGGGAGAUGUGUCUGCUGUAUGAGAUAUGUGAGUAAAGCUCAAGAGCACGACCUUGUGUGUUUACCUGCUUUUGCGCCAGAGCUGAUGUGGUCCUCAGCCCGCAGGACGGAGCGGGGGGUUAUGAGCCGUGGUUAUGAGCUGAGAUUGCUUUUGCAGCCCCCUGGAAAUGCCUUGCAUCAGGGAACUCGCUGCCAGCAGCUGAGUCUCUAGCAGGAUCCGCUUGAUUUGUAGUACUAAAACACAAAGACGUCAUUAAAUUCUAUGGUCUGUUCUUUGUCGUGUCCCUCUGCUACCCCGGACUGGGGUUUGGAUGGAGUAGGACGCAGAACUGUGCACUGAUAAGCAGUUACUUGUCAGAUGCUGUCUGCAUAGCUCCUUUCUUGUACCGGUGUUAUCUUUUGCAUGUACCUGCUUUGAGCAAAUCCUUUCUAAUCAAUGAGCAAGAAUUUAAUGAUGUAUUUCACACAACAGUAACUUAUCCUCAUUUGAGAUUCAAUUGGGCCUUCUAAUAGUAGUUUAAUAACGAAGUGGAUUUUUAAUUAAGUAACGUCUUACGCGUUAGGAUCUUUUACUUAAAAAUAGUAAUUAAAAACUGGCGUUCAUGUGGCCGCGAGGUGAUUUGGAGGUGUGGCUGAUGCUGAAGGACUCAGGGAUGGCCCUUUCAUCCCCAGCCGGGCUGAUGCAAUGAGCCGGGCAGUAGCAGCUCCCCUCCUCCCUUCGUUAGGCAAAAGGCGUGAAGUCUUAGAAAACAAAACGUCAUCUUUAUUCAACGUGAGCGAGUUCAGCCUUCUUCAAAGUGAGAGGCGUCGUGGUUUUUUUUUUUUUUUGAAUGGCUUUGUAUCUUGGUUGGAGGUGGGAGCUUGCUUUGUCAAAGCAGAUUUUGGGGAAAGAUGUGUUAUUUUUCUGCUGACAUCUCAGUGUUCCCCGACACAGCUGAUAGCUCCAGCCAUCCCCCAGCGAGGGACACCACUGGGCUGCCACCAGUGUGAGGUUGCUAAGGGGAGGAUGUGUUCCUCCCUGUUAACUUAGGGAUGAUAGCAGAUGUAUUCGACCUCCACAUCUGAAGGGAGAGCCGCUCUGACAUGGGCACGUGGAUCACUCGAUAAAAUCCAAAGGUGUAAUGCUGCUGAGGGCUUCGUAGAGUAUUCAGGAGUCCCCUGAGAGCCAGGAGAAGUGACCUGCGUGAGUAGUGCCUGCCUGCCCUCGCAAGGGUUUGUGCCUAGGAAAGCUGAGGUCGGGAUGCUCGUGCCGUCGAGGUUUCAGGUAGAAACCUCAUGUUAGACAGUAUGUACCCUUCUGUGAGUCCUUUAGUGCUUUUUGGACGUGAAACUUAGCAGCUCGUGCCUCUCUGCAUUCGGGUAGAAGGCUGAUAAGGAUGGCAGGCCACGUUUCUGUAAGUGAUGAAUAGGGAGUGCUGAAAACAGCUGCGUUUCCCGGGGCUGUGUUGUGAUUGGGGCGGUGCUGAGAGCCUCAGUGCUUCAGGUUGUUUGCAUAGUGAACUGGUACAGAGCAGGGCGUGCCUUUCUGGAGCGGCCUCCUCGUGUCAGCAGGUGAAGUGAUGGGCUUGGCUGCAAACAGGAGCAGGUUUUCAGAUGAGCUGUUGAGAUGCAGACAAUUAAUAGGCGUGUAACAUGAAAAAUUCAGCAUCUUUUAAGCUGAGUACGUUGGUAUUUUUUCUGAAUAUGGAUUGAGUGCACGAUAGGAGUUCGAUAAGGUAGGGGUAAGGUAGGGCCGUUGUUGUGGGCUGUAAAUAAGCGGAGACUUGUGAGGGGUGUUUGACGAGCUUGCCAGGCUGCAGCCUUCGUGCUGCUGCUCCCUCUGCCGCCUGUUUGCACGGCCCCAGCGCUCCCCUGGGCACUGCUCUCCUGAGAGGAAGCAUAACUGCUUCUGCUGGGGCGAAGAAAGCUUAUCCAAACACCAGCAGCGGGUGGAAAACGGGGUGCAAGCGUGCACGCAUACUGAAUGAGAAGCUUCGCUGCCUGCGAUAGCGAUAGUUGGACCAGAAACUUCUUGUAGUCAAACAGGAAAACUUUGCAGGCGGAGCAUCCUUCCAGUGGGACUUCUGCUCGUGCAGAGCUGCUGCGUGGUGUAAAAACCCCCAUCUGCUGCCAGCUCAGCCCGCCCUGCAGUCCCGCUGCAGAGGGCGCUCCGUACAGCGCUGCGCUGUGCUGGGGGAGCGCCCCGCCUCCGCCGUCACGUGCUGAGAGCCUCGGGGGGCCGCGGGCGCUGCUCGGGCUUUUAUAGGGCGUAAAUAAAAGGAUGAGUGGCUCCGACGGGAUGGCGGGUUGGUGUUCUAUCGCUCUUUCUUUUUUUUCCUUUCUUGGAUAAGAGAUGAAGUACUGCGGGUUUUUUUUUUUCUAUUGCCUCGAGGUAGUCCAAAGCAAGAAGAGGUGAUUUGACCUGCUGUGAUUGUUAAUGCGCCUUUCUAGCAGCUAAUAAUAACUGGUAGCAAAACGUGGGGAGGGGUGGUUCCUCCUCCAGCCCGAAGGGGUGGAUGGCUGUCAGCUCCAGCAGGCGGUGGCUGUGCACCCAUCCCUUGCUGCCCGUGUGGCCCUGGGGGUGAGCGUGGCACAGAGCUGGCAGUGCUGCUGGCCUCGCUUGUGGCUCUGACCCUCGGAGUAACGUCCUAAAUUAAAAGCUGAUCUCCUCCUGACAAGCAAUUUAAAACCUGAGAAGACAGCGUUGGCAGUAAUUGCAUAAAAAUAGGACGUGCUUGCAGGUCACGGGUAGCUUUUCAAUAGAUUUUUCUCAGAGCACGAGAACUAUUUCUCUAAUACCUAAAAAUAAAACCCCAGUCUAGUUUAAGGUCUUACAUAAGGUUGUGAUUCCUGCUCCUGGCUGGAGAAGGCUCACCUUGCAGCCUGGCUGGAUGGCUUUGUCCUUGUGUGCAGCAGCACAGCUGUGCUUCUCUCCUUCCAGGUCAGGUGUGACUGCUGGGAGUGCUUGGCCAUCCAGGUACCAAACCAAGGCGUUGGUGUGGGGAUGCUGGGUGGUGCUGUUCUGAGAGCUCUUCUCGUGUGUCCUUUGGAAAAGAAAAUGUUUCCCCCGAAUAUUCAUUCAGGUAAUACAGAACUGGUGAUUCUUACUUGCAACUCAAGCGGUUUUGAGGAUAGUAAUUGUUUCAGGCUGAUGGAAGAUUAAGACUUGUCUCCCAUGUCAGUUAUUAAAUGUGGGGAUAGCUGCAGGCUGAGGGAUAAAAUAUUUGAUUUACAGUGCAGCUCUGUGAAACACAACUGCACAGAUCUGCUUGUGUAAAAGCUUCAUUUAGGACGAGAAGAACAAGCAGCCCUACCGGAGCACUCCAGUUGUGAUGUCUGUUCAGUGGGCUGAAGCCCAGCGUGGUGAUUCGGAUGGGAUGAUGAUGGUAAUUCGGAGCUGGAAGACGAGCUGUUGGUAAUUUUGAGCCUUUUUCAGUGCUGUGGCUGCUUAUCAGCAGAGCUAACAGGAUCCGAGCAGGCUGCAGUGCACGGAGUGCCUCCUUUCUCAAGUGUUAAGGUUAAAGUUGUUAUAAGCUUGUUUGCUAGCAUUUGUUGGUACAGAAGAGUGCUCUGGACGCUUGUGUGUUAUUGCCCUGGAUGUAUUUUUCUAGUUAACGUUGUGAGCAGUUGCUUAAUUUGCAAAGCUGUUACUGCUCUUGAUCCUGACUAUAGUAAAAAUCAAUGCGCUCUCUGCAGUCUGAACUAAUAGGAAUCAAACUCAUUGAAGCAUGAAAAUGGUUUAAUCAACAGAGAGCAAUCUUAAAGGUUAUUUAAAAAAAAAAAAAAGAGAGAGGAAAAAAAGGAGGAAAGAAGAAAAACCACCACUGCCCAAGCUCUGAAACUGAAGAGCAGAGCGCAGCGCUUCCUGCCUUUGGGUAGAUUAAUGGAGGGGAGGCUUUGAAGGCUUUAAUCUGAAAAGGGUGCAGUGGUAUUCUUAGGAGCUGC
rnacentral:lncRNA from 1 species